rnacentral:rRNA from 1 species
UACGUAGGGGGCUAGCGUUGUCCGGAAUCAUUGGGCGUAAAGCGCGUGUAGGCGGCCCGGUAAGUCCGCUGUGAAAGUCGGGGGGCUCAACCCUCGGAUGCCGGUGGAUACUGUCGGGCUCGAGUACGGAAGAGGCGAGUGGAAUUCCUGGUGUAGCGGUGAAAUGCGCAGAUAAUCAGGAGGAACACCAAUUGCGGAAGGCAGCUCGCUGGGACGUUACUGACGCUGAGACGCGAAAGCGUGGGGAGCAAACAGG